AUGGCCUGGACCCCUCUCCUGCUUCCCCUCCUCACUCUCUGCACAGGUUCUGUGACCUCCCAUGACUUGACUCAACCACCCUCAACGUUGGUGGCCCUAGAACAGACGGCAACAAUCCCCUGCUCUGGAGAUAAUCUCGAGGAUGAAUAUGCUUACUGGUAUCAGCAAAAGCCAGGCCAGUCCCCUGCCCUGGUCAUUUAUAAGGAUAGUGAGUACCCCUCAGGGAUCCCUGACCAGUUCUCUGGCUCAAACUUGGGAAACACAGCCACCCUGACCAUCAGAGGGGCCAAGACAGAGGACGAGGCUGACUAUUACUGCCAAUCGUGGAGCAGUGCUAAUGCUCACAGUGACACAGGCUGA